rnacentral:lncRNA from 1 species
GUACCUUUCUUGGCUGAUCCCUUUCGCUUUAUGGCGUGCUCGUUUGGGUUGGGCGUCGGCUAAGAGUGCUCAGAGCGUGGAUUAACUCCAGUCUCCAAUCAGGUGUGUAUUUUUUCGCUAUUCUAGCUGUAGGAUGGCUACUUCGGGCCGCGAUGGGCCGAAAGGGGUCAUGUGGGCCUAAUGGGCCUACGGACCCAAUUGGUUAAGUUGUUUGAUUGUGUAGUAAAUAUUGGACUAGGCUAGGUGAAUCUCAUAUUUGUGGCUAGAUUUGGGCUAAAAGGGCCACACGAGCGUGUGGGCCCAUUUGGGCCGAGAAUAGGCUUUUGGCACAUUCGUAUUGUUAUCCUUGUUUAGAAUACUUUAGUUUACCAAAUUACUAAAAUGCCCUCAAUUUGUAAAAUUACUAAAGUACCCUCGAUUUACAAAAUUACCGUUUUACCCUCGAUUUACAGAAUUACCAUUUUACCCUCAAUUUAUAGAAUUAACGUUUCACCCUCGAUUUAUAGAAUUACCGUUUUACCCUCAAUUUAUAGAAUUACCAUUUUACCCUCAAUUUACAGAAUUACCGUUUUACCCUUAAUUUACAAAAUUACUGAAAUACCAUUGGUUUACAAAAUUACCAAAAUACCCUUGAUCAGUAAAAUUACCAAAAUACCCCUGGUUUGUACAAUUACUAAAAUACUCCCUGUUUGUAAAAUUAUCGAAAUACUCUCGAUUUGUAAAAUAUCAAAAUACCCCUGAUUUGUGAAAUUUACGUUUCACCCUCGAUUUAUAGAAUUAUCGUUUCACCCUCGAUUUAUAGAAUUACCGUUUUACCCUUGAUUUAUAGAAUUACCAUUUUACCCUUGAUUUACAGAAUUACUGUUUUACCCUCGAUUUACAGAAUUACCGUUUUACCCUCGAUUUACAAAAUUACUGAAAUACCCUUGGUUUACAAAAUUACCAAAAUACCCUCGAUCAGUAAAAUUACCAAAAUAUCCUGGUUUGUAAAAUUACUAAAAUACUCUUGGUUUGUAAAAUUACCAAAAUACCCCUGGCUUGUAAAAUUACCAAAAUACCCCUGAUUUGUGAAAUUAUCGAAAUACUCUUGAUUUGUAAAAUAUCAAAAUACCCCUGAUUUGUGAAAUUAAUGUUUCACCCUCGAUUUAUAGAAUUAUCGUUUCACCCUCGAUUUACAGAAUUACCGUUUUACCCUCGAUUUAUAGAAUUACCAUUUUACCAUCAAUUUACAGAAUUACUUUUUUACCCUCGAUUUACAAAAUUACUGUUUUACCCUCAAUUUAUAAAAUUACUAAAAUACCCUUGGUUUACAAAAUUACCAAAAUACCCUCGAUCAGUAAAAUUACCAAAAUACCCCUAGUUUGUAAAAUUACUAAAAUACCCCUAGUUUGUAAAAUUACCAAAAUACCCUUGGCUUGUAAAAUUACCAAAAUACCCUUGAUUUGUGAAAUUAUCGAAAUACUCUCAAUUUGUAGAAUUACCGAAAUACCCCUAUAGGGUAGAAUUACUGAAAUACCCUUGUAGGGUAGAAUUACUAAAAUAACCCUGUAGGGUAGAAUUACCGAAAUACCCCUAUAGGGUAGAAUUACUGAAAUACCCUUGUAGGGUAGAAUUACCAAAAUACCCUUGUAGGGUAGAAAUAUCGAAAUACCCCUGUAAGGUAGAAUUACCGAGAUACCCUUGGGUAAAAUUACCAUUUUGCCCCUAGGGUGAUAAAUGACUGUUUUGCCGUUGUGGGCAAGUGACUAACUUGGACUGUGUGGUUGACGGAUUUGAUUGUGAAUAUAUGUUAGUGAUAUGAAUGACUUGACUGUGAUUGUUUGAUUCAAAUAUGGGCAUGACAUUCUGCAUACAUGACAUGUUGCAUGGGUUGGGUUUUAUAAAACUGGAGGAAGUGCUAAAAGGGCUUUGCCCCAGUUUACCGAAAAGGGCUUUGCCCCAGUUUAUCAAAAAGGGCUUUGCCCUAGUUUAUCAAAAAAGGCUUUGCCUCAGUUAUUAAAAGAGGCUAGGCCUCUAGUUAUAUGAUAAAGCAGCUAUGCUGCCAAUGGAGAGUUUGGUUGGGUUGGUUAAGUUAUUCCAAAUGGAGAGCUUGGUUGGUACGGGUGGAGAGUAACGGAUGGUGGGUUGAGUAGUCUCCCCAAAUAGGCUUGCAUACAUUCAUUGGUAUUUCAUGUGAUAGCGAAAUGGGCCCAUGGGCCAUAUCGUUUACAGUAAAGGCUUCGGCCCAGUGAUAUGAUUUAUGAAAAGGCUUGGCCCAGUAACCGUUAAAGAAAAGGCUUCGGCCCAGUAUAUGUCAAGACUGAAUAGGGCUUUGGCCCAGAUUGUACUAAUACCGUGUUAUUCACUGUUUGUUUGUUAUUGGGAUUACACACUGAGUUUUCGUAAGCUCACCCUGUUUCUAACUGUGCAGGUAAUCCCUAAGCUUAGAUGGUUUGGAGCUACGAGGGACUCAGAAAUGGCCACACUACUGUUUCUAUUUCUUUUAAUUGCAAUUAGAUUUCGUUUUGGGUUUUUAAUUUAUGAAAUAAGGUCGUUGGUGGGUUUUAAGUUUUAAUUUGGAUUGUGAUUUCUUAUACUAAACUGCUAGUCUAGGAAAGCUCGAGAUUUCAAAAUGGUAUGAUUCUUCUAAGGAACACGAGCUUCCAACAACAAAGUUUUCAAAAUGCUUCCGCGAUUUUAAAUAAGGUAAUAUACCAAAGGCAAACAAAUUGGUAAACGUUUUGAUGAGAACUUUAGUUUAAUAAUAAUAAAGGAAUUUAGAUUCAGUAAUGGAUUUUCACCGGAACGGUCAAAUUUGAAAAAUGGUUUGAUGUGACACGCCAGAUUCGGCCAUAACGUCUAGGCCAGGUUUGGGGUGUUACAAUCAUUUUCAGAGCCUCGUUUGCUUCCUCUUUUUCCAAGUUCUUGUUCAUUAAAUUGUGGAGGAGAGGAGGAAGGAAUUGGGCUACAAUCAUUUCAAACUUUUUUCCAUUCCCUAUUAGUUUAGUUAUGGUUAAAAGCAUUAUUCUCAUUCAUUACAUCAACACAAUCAUAAGGUGCAUUACCAACAUUAUAAUUUGGGGGAGAAAGGAUAUAAAUUGUUUCCUUUUCAUGCUUACCAGAAGUAAAUUUAAUAACCUUGUAACACCUGUAACCCAUCUUCGUCACUGGAUUAGGGUUACAGAGCAUUAUCGAUCAAUCGAAAAACAUUUAUAAUCAUAACAUUAAAUAAAUUAAUCUCAAUAAAAAACUUAUCAACUAUAUGUAUUUUGUCCUUAAAUCGAGCCUUCGAGGCCCUAAAAAAACUUAGAAGCAAUUCGGGACUAAUUUGAAUCAAAAAAGAAGAUUUGGGAAAAAGUUGAAAAUUUUGAAAACAGGGGUCACACAACCGUGUGACAUAGCCCUGGCCAUGUAACAAUUGAAUAAGAUAUAUACGGCCGUGUCCUAGCCUAUGUCCUCACCUAUGUAUCUCAUUGAGUUAGUUUACAUGACCGUAUCACAGGCCGUGUGCUAGACCGUGUAAUUAAUUUACUUAAUACGCUAAGAAAUUUUAAAUAACACAUGGUUGAUUAGCUAGGUCGUGUGUGUCACAUAGUCGUGUGAUAGCCCGUGUCCCAGGUCGUGUGAUCCAUAUUUUGACCCUAAAAAUAUGCCAUUUCAAGGCCAAACCAUACCUAAACAAACAUUCCAUUUGUGCACACAUUCAAAAGACUGAAACAUCGUUCAAACACAUCUAAACAUACCAUUUCAAACAUCCUAUCACAUCUAACCAAUAUGCCAUUCAAAGGCACCACAUUUAUACCAUAACACUACUAACCAAAACAAAACAAUAUUGUCAUAUUCCAAGCUCAAAACCUAGUUCCUUAACUACCAAAUAACAUCACAUGUGACCAUUUACAUGCCAUCAAAAACAUACCAAAAAGAGUCUUAUUCACAAGAACUUUAAAAUGGCCAUAAUGACCAAACUUAACAAGGUUCCAAAGCUUACCAAGCUAAACAUAAACUUCAAAAGCACAAACAAACUAAAUCAAUCAUUACACAUUCAAGAACUACCACUUCAAAAAGGGUUUUAGACAUGCCAUAGAUAACCUUGGCUAAAUUACUCAAAAACUACCAAAAUGGUUGUUGGAUAGUAUGAUUGAUCCCCGACAAGCUUCCAACCAAUCGAGAUUUUGAUAAUCUAUAAAACAAAAGAAAGUAACUACAUAAGCAACGAGUGCGUAGUAAGCUCGUAUAAAUUCAAACAUAACUUACCAUUUCUUUAGCACAAACUAUAAAAUAUGCAUAAUGUCAUUACCAAUACCAUAAGCUUAGUAUAAGCCUAUACAAGCACCAUCAAACUCAAAGUUAGUAUGCUUAUCCAUGAUACAAAUGAAUUCAAUCAUAUAGUAAGUAAAUUUCAUAUAUACACAUCGUCAAUUUAUCAACCUUUUCAUAUGAUCAUAAACCGUUUCAUUUGUAUGUUUAUCAUGUCAUUUCCUUUACUUACCCAUUGAACCAUCUAGAAUUACAUCGGAUACUUAGGAAUGCUCACACACAUAGUGUGUCUUUUUAUAUAAUUGUAACCUUUCUUUUUCAAUAGUGCUCACACGAGUUGUGAAAUGGGCCUACUCACACAAGCUGUGUGUCAGAAUGUUAGCUACACGAUGCUUCUCACACGAGCUAUGGAGAAUUCGCAACAAAUGC